ensembl:lncRNA
AUGCUGCUAUGGACUACACUGACAGAAGCCCAGGAGCUAGAAGAGGUGGCUGAGAGCGUGCUCGAGGAAGUGCUGGAGAGGGUGAAAGAGCUGGAGCAGUCGGUCCGCGUUUUAAGGAGGGCUCCCCUGGCAAUCAGUGGAAGGUUGUUUGGUAGAGCUAGAAGGGCAGAGCUUUCCGAGGCGCCUCCUCCAGAUCUCUGGGAGGAAAUUUGGCUGGUGGCUAGAGAGAUUGCAGCAACCCUUUUGGAUCACUUGGGGAAGCGAGGGGCAUGCAGCACAUCAGACGCCUCUGAGGCCAGGCUGUCGGCCAGGUGGAGGCAGCAGCGCAUUGCCACAGGAGCCACGCGAGCUGGCAAAUGGGGAGAAAGCAGAGCGAGGCAAGCUGAAUUCCCAAGGCUUGACGGAGCAGCUUCUCUGCCGUCUCUUGACCAAAUCGCCAAAGAUGCUGUUGAGAGCAUUGGAGCCACCUUGCAAUCGUUUGUAGCGUCUCAAUUUGAGUAUCGCUUCCACUGUAAAUUUUCUGAAAUCCUGAAGCUGCCCRCUGAGACUGUUUCUAAGAGACAACCGCAGCCACCCCAGACACCUUCCUCAAGCCAGGUCAUGAAAGAAGGAGGAUCACCUAGAGCAUCUGAACAUCGGACACCAGAAGCCGCCAGCUUGCUCGUGUUGCAACCCUUCCAAAAUGCUGCGGAGGUAUCCCGAGAGAGUAGCACGCUUGCAGGGGAGAGCAUCCCAAAUGCAAUUUCCAAAGUUCAGCAGCUCCMCUCAGAAUUAAAAGUGUAUGCUGAGACCAUUGUCCAUGAUGCUCUUGAAAURCUGAAGAAGAAGAAGAAGUUAGAAGAAGAAAGGCGUGCAAAGGCAAGAGCCUCACAAGACAGUUCAGAAGAAAGCACCGUGGAGAGCGGGCUAGUGGAGCGGCUAGGAGAGCAGCACGGUCGGCYUCUGACUGCAGUAGCUUCAGGAGUGAAUUGUGCAAGGCGGGCGGCAAAACAGCCCAGCCGGAGAGAUGGGAACAGCAGCAAUGCGGGGCAGGGCUUUCUAAGGCCAGAAGGAAAGAAAACUCCUGCUGGAAAAUUAGAGGAGAGUCAACCAAGAACAAAGCUCCCACCUAUCACCAUCCCCGGARUGGUCAUGCCUUCAGAGGACGAAGCAGAAUCUGAAGAAUCUCAAGAGGAACUGUCACCUAAUCUCCUCCCACCUGUCCUGCAAAGCUCCGAGCAAGAUGCCCCCCCCCCCCUUCAGCCUGCUGGCAAGACUCUUUUGCUCAAGACAAAUAGCAUAUUAUAUGUCAUUUCUUAACUUUUACUGGCUGUGUUUUGCUGACUAUCCUGAAUGUCUCCACCUGUUUCUACAGAUGGAGCAGCUGCAGUUAAAGGCAAACACCUGGCCUUUCACAGCCAUGCCUUGUGCUUUAAAAGUAGAUUAGAGUUACAGCAGCUCCUAGCAGACCUGGCCUACUUAAGGCCCUAUCAGUAUUUUGAUUAGAAAUGCUGCUUUUGUCGUUGUGCUUUUGUUUCAAGCCCAAGUAAUCUGGAACUUUGCAGAGAGAUUUUUAAGCUCAGCAAAAAUCAUUUACAUGUGGUUUGCUUUUGACUAGCA